rnacentral:lncRNA from 1 species
AUGAGGAAAAUUGAUGACAGAAUAGUACAUGAGUUAAACACUAUGGUUCCCACAGCUUCCUUUGCAGGGAAAAAUUGAUGCCAGCCAAAACUAUAAACAAUUUUAUGAGUCUUUGAUGGCAGCUCAUGCCAGUAAGGAAAGAGCCAUAAAAAAAUUGUAUAGUCCAGACCACAGCAGUAGUAAAAAACUUCCAAGAAGAGAAAGAUAAAAAUUUGGAUGAUUUAACAUUAUUAAAGCAACUUAGAAAAGAGCAGAAAAAGUUGAAAUGGAUGCAGUCAGAACUGAAUGUUGAAGAGUGGUAAAUGAAAGGAGCUGGAAGGUGUUUAACGAAUACUGCCAAAUUCACUUCAAGCCUCCAAAGAAUGA